GGGCCAUAUCUCAAUGGUAGAGCAUCUGCUUUGCAUGCAGAAGGUCCCAGGUUCAAUGCCUGGCAUCUCCA